AUGAAGAAUAUUUGGGUGGUGAUUUCCAACAGAAUUCGCGCUAGUUGGGAAGGUCGGAUGGUGAGCAUCAAGAACGGGUCUCAUCCAAAAACUUACGAUCGUUAUGAUCCUGCCCUGGGUCUUCAUGCAAAAUAA
rnacentral:tRNA from 2 species